UCCUACGGCCAUACCAGCCCAAGAAAGCCUGGUCUCGUCUGAUCUCGGAAGCUAAGAAGGCUGGGCCUGGUUAGUACUUGGAUGGGAGACCUCCUGGGAAUACCAGGUGCUGUAAGCU
ensembl:rRNA 5S_rRNA 5S ribosomal RNA